rnacentral:lncRNA from 1 species
AAACCAAUAAUGAAAUGGACAUCUGUUUAUAAUUAUAUAAAAAUAGUUACACAGAACACAGAAGGAAGAUAACAUUUUAUAAAAUAAUAUUUUUGUAAUAGGCAUAUGGGGAAUUAUAAAAUGUUAAGCUUCAUUUCUGUUGUUAACUUACACAAAUGUAAAAUAAAUGUGAGAAAGAAUAUGGUCUUGAAAUACUACUUAUUCCUUUUUUUUGGGUACCAGGGAUCAAACUCAGGUCCUUGCGCUUGCAAGGCAGGCGACAGAACCACUGAGCUAAAUCCCUGGCCCAAUACUACUUAUUCUUUAAAACAUAUUAUGUAUAAAGUCAAAAUGACACACUAAAUCAAUGACAUCAUUUCACAUUCCCAAUUAUAAACUUCGUUGUACUUAUGUCUAUAGUAUUUUCACUGAGCAAGUAUAAAACAGAGUUCAGUUGUAAGCUUUCCUUCUCCUCCACUUUUCUUUUGAAAUCAUUUCAUUCUUCCCCUAUUAUAUUUCUCUUUCCAAUGGAAAUCAUAGAAAAAUGCCCCCCUCCCCUGCCCAGAAACUAAAUUUCAUCCUAGAAUCAGGACAGAAAUACACAGAUUCAAAGAACAAGUACAUGUCUGUAAUAUUAGCACUUGAGGCAGAAGGAUUGCAAGUUAGAGUUUCAUCUGGGCAACUUAGAAAGAUCCUGGAAAAAAAGACUUGAGGAUGUAGCUCAGUGGUAGAGCACCAUUGGAUUCAAUCUUCAGUAACACAGAAAAAAGAAAAGAAAAAAGAAAAACAACUUUAAAAGAUGACCUUUAGAUAUAUCAGAAGUUAAUCCAAAUGUGAAAUUCUGUAACUUUAUGAGAUUGUUUAGUUUGGUUUCUUAGAUUGAUUUAUUUUCAUUUUGACUUUCCAUUUUAGUGUCUGGUCUUCCAAACCAUAGACUACCAAUUAGCUGAAGGAAUCAUCAACUAUUACCUUAUAUUGAUUGCUACACAGUAUAUAGAUAAGAUCAGAUGAAACGUACAAUCUUCAUUAAAAAUUUUCUGCAACUUUUAAAAUGGUCUGCAUAGAAUGUUUAGAAAUUAUUUCAACCAUAUUUGAAAACACUUGGUUCAUGAUUAUACUGGCCAACUAAAUAACAUUCUUUAAAAAUAAAAUGUGUUAUUUGGCAGGCAGCUGGUACGUGGCCAUUUAUGAAUUUUUAUUUAAAGAAGAGAUGCAAGACAUUUUCUACAGUGGCCUCCUCUGCACUCCCAACUUUUACUAUUUGAAAAUGCAUGAGUACUUUCCUUUGGAAAUUAUGUAGCCUACACAUAUUUUAUAAAAAUCACAGAAUGUGGGAGCAUGGACAGUUCUAUAUCUAAGAACAUCAGUAACCAUGAUGUUUGAUGUCAUAUGAUCUAAAAUAGCCUGUGACAUAAGGCUUCUCCCAGAUGUCUGCAGAUUGUUCAACUGUUUCAUUGUGUUUGUUAUCUUC